CGGCUACUCUGAGAGUUGUUGGAGAGCAAACUUAGACGAUUCUCCAUAACUAUUCGCAAGCAGCUGAGUAGGAAUCUAUUAUUUGAUUCAAGUCUCAACAUACUUCUUUUUUGGUAGGCCUCUUUGAUCGAUGACCAUUUUUGUAACAUUUGUUGAGUCUAUGUAAAUUGCAGCUAUUUUGGAGUCUAGAAAGUCUAUUUAGUUUUUUUUGGGAAGUGUAUUAUGCAAUUUGAUUAUGUUAUCUGAAUUAUGACUGGAUUGAAAGCUGAA